UACAGAGGAGCCAAGCGUUGUCCGGAUUGACUGGGCGUAAAGCGCACGCAGGCGGAUGCGCGCGUGGGGUGUGAAAUCUGGCCGCUUAACGGCCAGGCGCCAUCCCAUACGGCGCGUCUGGAGUGAUGCAGAGGUCGAUGGAAUUGCCGGUGUAGUGGUGAAAUGCGUAGAUAUCGAGAGGAACACCUGCGGCGAAGGCGGGUAGCUGGGCCGACACUGACGCUGAGGCGCGAAAGCCCAGGGGAGCGAACGGG
rnacentral:rRNA from 1 species